rnacentral:lncRNA from 1 species
GGAGGUGGAGGGAUGGUGCUUUCAGUUGCAUCAUAAGGCAGGUUCAUAAAACAAACAGCAACAUUCUGUGUUUACUUUUAAUUUGGAUUUUUUUUUUUUUUGCAUUAAUCUUGAUUUCUAAAAAAUAUUGCACGAGUUCCUGUUGCGGCUCAGUGGGUUAAGAACCCAACUAGCCAGGGAUCAAACCCCAUGAGUACUAACUAGUCAGAUUUGUUUCCGCUGAGCCAUGAUGGGAACUCCAAGACUGCCUCUUUGCCCAGGCCACAUCUUCUGCCCGAGUUGUGGUCUUGUCCCCAAACCCCUUCACCUUAGACAUUACUUCUUAGCUCUGGAGUUCCACCUGGGGGAACACCUCCUGACCCCCUGCUUGGGUUCCUCAAGCCGGCUCCAUUGCUCUUUUUCCAGAGAAAUCUGUUUCCAUUCAACUCCCGGCUGUUAGGCUCAUGAUUCUGCUGUGAUUUAUCUGUUUACCUGUGUCCUCAGUUACACUGCCAGCUCUCCUUGAGGAGAGCAAGCGGGCUUUUCAUGUCAAAUGAAUAAUGAAUACAAUUGGAUACAGUGAAAGGAGCAGUAACGGACUAUGAAAUAAUUCAUGAAACACAAUAGCACAGCCCAGAGGCUCUGCUCGAAUGUCACACGAUCCUGAGUUCAAAUGUUAGUUGUCAUCAGUUAGCAUUGUGACACUGUAAAUAUUUUCAGAUUUUUUUACUAUGGAAACUUUCAAACAUAAGCAAAAGUAGAGAGAACCCUCUAGUGAGCCCACACGGGCCCACCCUGCAACUACCCCAGUCAACUUCUGGCCAAUCGUGUUUCUUUUCUCUUUUUUUUUUUUUUUUGUCUUUUUGCUAUUUCUUUGGGCCGCUCCCGAGGCAUAUGGAGGUUCCCACUCCAAACCAAUCGUGUUUCUUAGAGUGCCCCAACCUCCACCCCCAUCCCUGGAUUUUGGGGAAGCAAAUGCCAGACAACAUAUUAUUCCACAUGGAAUUAUUGCAGUCAUUACAGUAAACUAUGAAUUGAUUGCAAACUCUAUAUGAACCAUGUGCAAAAAAGAGCUGGCAAUGGGUUGGGGUCACGGGGAGACCCUUUUAAAGCAAGCCUUGAAGGAUGGAUAUGGAUUUUGGCAAAGAACAUUUGUAAAUGGGAAGCUGUAAGCCAUGUGAGCCGCACGGGGUCUGCAGAUUGUUUUUGCUCGAACCCCUGUCAGGAUGGGGAGAGGGAACUCGAGGGAAAACCUAGGUGUGGAACAGAGGGGGGCCAGCCCCCUGAUGCCUUUUAGGAGGAGGGAUGGGCUGGGGGAUCUUUUAGUUUUAGGUAACAUUGUGCUCCUCUGAAAGUCUGCACUCACAGUUGUGAAAUGAGGCGAGGACAUUAGUAAUACUGAUUUUGUGCCCUUCGGCUGUCUCUCAAAGCAUUUUCCUUCGUAACCCAUUUCUCCUUUUACAGGGAAAGAAAUUGUCACAGCACCUUUAAAGAAACUGGCUCCUGUACCAACUGCCAGGUUUUAGUCAGGGAGAAACGGGAACUCAGUUUUCCAUGCUCAGCCCUGCACUGAGGUGACCUGGCAACUGUGCAUUUUAUCCCACUGGGUUUAAUCCUUAUUAUGAAUAACAGAGCGAAGCUUUGUUAUUCACCAGAAUGGAUUUCUGCUGCUGGGAGAAUUAGCUGCAGUCUUAUUCGCAAGGAACCUUCUGAUGCAAUGAGGUCUUUUGAACCGUGCAUAAAUAAAUAGAGGCUAUUGUUUAGGCUUUUGGAGGUAAGGCUUAAAACUGCUCCAGAAGUUCCAGUCAGACUUCAAGUAUCUUUGUUUGGCUGAUUUUUUUUUUUUUUUCUAGUAGUAGUUUUCUCCAUAUUGCUUUAGCAGCCUGACUCUUCGUCAACUCCUAAAACUAGGGCACAACCAACCCUUUAUCUGGAGACUUUUAUGCUUAGAGAGGACGAAAUUCUGGGUCCAAAAAAAAAAAAAAGGGAUGGAAAAUAAAAGUACGUGCAGAAAUGGAGCCUUUAGGAAUAAUGGUAAAGAAAGAAUCUUGUUUCCGAUUAAGUUUUUUUGUUAAGCUGGGAGAAAUAGAUGCAUAGUAGAAAGUGAGGCUGUUAAUUUACCACCAGCCAGAAUCCCUUAUGAGGACAAGAUGCUUUAGGAUCUCUAAAGAAGAGUUGAUUAUUUGUUUUAAUCUCAAAGCUCGCACACCCCAAUUCCCCAGCACAAUAAAGCCUUUCUGGGUCCUCGGAGCAGCAAUGUGAAACUUUGUUUUCAAAACCCCGAAAGAAGUCUCCUUUCUUUGAAGGUGUUUAGUUUCUGAAAUUUUAACCUGGGAUCCCAGCUAACACAUUGCUGCUUUUUGUGUUUUUAUUUUUUUUAAUUAAUUUAUUUUUUUCCUUUAAAGAUCUACUCUCUUAGCAGCUUUCAGCUGUACCAUAGAGUACUGUUAACCGCGGUCUCUGUGCUGGGACAUUGUAGGCCCAGGACUUACUUAGCUCACCAUGUUGCUUUUCUGCGAAGGCUUAUUGAAAAUGAUUUGUGGGCUUAAUCUGGAUGUUUUCUAUUUUUUUUGAUCACCUCUGUCUACGCGUGUCCCGGGCAGUCCCUGUCUGUGUCUCUUCCACCCAGAGUGAAAGAAUUUUUUCUCAUGCGGAACCAGAUGCUCCCAGGAUGAGGGCAGCUUUCCUGACUUUCGGCAGAAGUGGGGGGGUAUCAGGCUUCUCCAGGACCCAGGAAGCUGCCCUUUGUAGGUGCUUCAUGUGUGCUUUAUUCAUGUCUCCACUUUCAUAAUCUUACCCCCAUUUCUCUCCGCCCCUGGCUCUGUCUAGAGCCUCCGGGCCAUCCACUCCUCUAAAGUGGCUCCGUGAUUCUAGUCCUUCCCAAGGGAUGAGAUCUUCUGGUGCAAAGUCCUUUCUCACCAUCCACGGACAAAACCACUAUUAGGCUGUGUUUUACCGAACUGCAGAGACUGCAUUUCCUUAAGCGCUAACACUUUUAUCUCUCUGCCCUUCCCUCUUGUCACCUGUGCAUUGUCACCCAAGCAAUUAAAACCAUUUCGAUGUACUUCUUUGAUUUGCACUGAUAUUCGAAAGGGUGUCUGUGUUGAUAUAGCGGAGUCCCUUCUUUUGCCUUUUCUCUGCCACUAUGUUUGAGUUUGGAAAGGCUUAGUGUUUGGACGGAGUUCAGAGUGACUUAGAGACUUGCUUUUGAUGCUGCUGAUAUACACAUUCUUUGAAGUCUUAGAAUGGGUAGGGUCGAUUAAAUUUGGAGCCUGUCAGCUUGUGACAUCCCCUCCCCUCACUGACCACCCCACAGCACAUGGAGUUCCUGUGCCAGGGAUCAAAUCCAAGCUCCAGUCACAACUUAAGCCACAGCUGCGGCAAAGCCGGAUCUUUAACCAACUGCACCUGGCUAGGGAUCGAACCUGCAGCCCAGCACUCUCAAGACGCUGCCGCCAGUCCUGCUGCGCCACAGCAGGAACUGCUUAUUGCAUUCCAAUCACCCAUUUUGAAGCCUUGCUGAGGGACCUAAGAUUAUUUGUUAAACUGCCAUUGGAAUAAACAUAACCAACACUUUGCUUUCAAAGGAACGAACUUUUGAAAGCAAGCGAUGAGCAUACCUCUGUAUUUUCUUGACAGAUAUCAAAGAAAGAAAAUCUUCCUGUCUGAGCCUUAACAAGACAGCUAGCAUUGCCGGGAGGUUUUGCUUGCAUGACAACUUCAACAUUAUAAUCUAGAAAUCUCAAAACUCAACAAUUUUCUGUUUGGGGGUGGGGAGGGAUGUUCAAAUCGUUCUCUAUACAGCUAGUUACCAAAAUAGUCAAAUAUGAAAGCUCAUUUAUCUUCUUUCAAAAGGUUAGUCUUUUGCUACAGGAAUCACAAUUGAGGCUAAAAAGAAAGCAUUAGAAACAAACUUUUUUCUCUGCUAGUUCAAGUUUUGAGUGUUUUAAUUACUUAACUGUUUAUCUUUCUGGCAGUGAGGUUAGUACCCUAGCCAGUGAUUACCAACAAUUAAAACAACAAGUCAUCUAUGGCAACGCUUACACUCCCGGGAAACCCAAUUAAAAUCACAUUUCAUUUUUUGCUUUCAUGGUUUAGAAGUAAAUUUUCAAUUGGUUUCAUGAUUCUUGUGGGGUUUUUUUCCCAAAUUAAUGACUCUGGACAUUUGGACACUGAGCUAUGUGAAAACAAAGUGUGUUUUCUUCCCUUUGCUAUGAUUUAGGUAUUUAAAGGGGCAACUUAUGAAGAGAAGAAAUUGCCACCUAAGAGUGGGUCAAAGUCCUGUAUCCUUCUUCAGACAGAAUACCUGAAUAGGAAACCUUUUAAAAAAAACAUUGUGCUAUGUGUUUUUUUAUAUGUGAUUUUUAUAUAUUAUAUAUAUAAAAUAAAAUUUACAUUUUAACCUUUUUUAUGUGUACAGUUCAGUGGAAUUAAGUACAUUCAUAAUACUGUGCAAAAAAAAA